UACAGAGGGGGCAAGCGUUAUUCGGAAUUAUUGGGCGUAAAGGGCUCGUAGGUGGCCAACUAAGUCAGACGUGAAAUCCCUCAGCUUAACUGGGGAACUGCGUCUGAUACUGGAUGGCUUGAGUUUGGGAGAGGGAUGCGGAAUUCCAGGUGUAGCGGUGAAAUGCGUAGAUAUCUGGAGGAACACCGGUGGCGAAGGCGGCAUCCUGGACCAACACUGACACUGAGGAGCGAAAGCCAGGGGAGCAAACGGG
rnacentral:rRNA from 1 species